UACAGAGGUCUCGAGCGUUGUUCGGAUUCAUUGGGCGUAAAGGGCGCGUAGGCGGCGGGGUAAGUCUGGUGUGAAAUCUCGGAGCUCAACUCCGAAACUGCACUGGAUACUGCUCUGCUAGAGGGCUGGAGAGGAGAUCGGAAUUCACGGUGUAGCAGUGAAAUGCGUAGAUAUCGUGAGGAAGACCAGUGGCGAAGGCGGAUCUCUGGACAGCUCCUGACGCUGAGGCGCGAAAGCUAGGGGAGCAAACAGG
rnacentral:rRNA from 1 species